rnacentral:rRNA from 1 species
CCUACGGGUGGCAGCAGUGGGGAAUAUUGCACAAUGGGGGAAACCCUGAUGCAGCGACGCCGCGUGAGUGAAGAAGUACUUCGUUAUGUAAAGCUCUAUCAGUAGGGAAGAAAAUGACGGUACCUGAGUAUGAAGCCACGGCUAACUACGUGCCAGCAGCCGCGGCAAUAUGUAGGGGGCAAGCGUUAUCCGGAGUUACUGGGUGUAAAGGGAGCGUAGACGGGAGUGCAAGUCUGGAGGGAAAGGCGGGGGCUCAACCCCCAGACUGCUGUGGAAACUGUAAGGCUGGAGUGCAGGAGAGGUAAGUGGAAUUCCUAGUGUAGCGGUGAAAUGCGUAGAUAUUAGGAGGAACCCCAAUGGCGAAGGCAGCUUACUGGACUGUAACUGACGUUGAGGCUCGAAAGCGUGGGGAGCAAACAGGAUUAGAUACCCCAGUAGUC